AAAAUAGAAAGCACAUUCUGAAUUGCUGAUAAACCUCCACCGGCCUUCCAACUUGAGACUUCAUAAAAAAGGCCGAUGCCAUGUCCUGCCUGAAUCUUGCAUUAUAAAUAAACAUUAUUUGUCCUUCUCAUUAGUCAUUCGCUCAGAUACCACAAGGAAGAGAUCCAAGAAAAAUCUCAUUUCGAUCUUUAUUCUUGCUGCUUUUGUUCUCUUUUUUCUUUUGGGAUCUUUUCCUUUCCAAUUUUGGUGUCCAAAAAUGCCUCAAGGAACGCUCCAAGUCCUUCUUGUUGGUGCUAAGGGUCUUGAA
rnacentral:misc_RNA from 1 species